rnacentral:tRNA from 5 species
GAGAGAGGCUCGUUAGCAGCGAAGACUGCUAAUCUUCGCCACCCUGGUUAGACCCCACGGCUCACUCGC